AGUGAACGCUGGCGGUAGGCCUAACACAUGCAAGUCGAACGGCAGCACAGUAAGAGCUUGCUCUUACGGGUGGCGAGUGGCGGACGGGUGAGGAAUACAUCGGAAUCUACUUUUUUGUGGGGGAUAACGUAGGGAAACUUACGCUAAUACCGCAUACGACCUACGGGUGAAAGCAGGGGAUCUUCGGACCUUGCGCGAUUGAAUGAGCCGAUGUCGGAUUAGCUAGUUGGCGGGGUAAAGGCCCACCAAGGCGACGAUCCGUAGCUGGUCUGAGAGGAUGAUAAGCCACACUGGAACUGAGACACGGUCCAGACUCCUACGGGAGGGAGCAGUGGGGAAUAUUGGACAAUGGGCGCAAGCCUGAUCCAGCCAUACCGCGUGGGUGAAGAAGGCCUUCGGGUUGUAAAGCCCUUUUGUUGGGAAAGAAAAGCAGCAGGUUAAUACCCCGCUGUUCUGACGGUACCCAAAGAAUAAGCACCGGCUAACUUCGUG
rnacentral:rRNA from 1 species